rnacentral:rRNA from 1 species
CCUACGGGAGGCUGCAGUGGGGAAUAUUGCACAAUGGGGGAAACCCUGAUGCAGCGACGCCGCGUGAGUGAAGACGUAUUUCGGUAUGUAAAGCUCUAUCAGCAGGGAAGAAGAAAGACGGUACCUGGCUAAGUAUCCCCGGCUACCUACGUGCCAGCAGCCGCGGUCAGACGUAGGGGGCAAGCGUUAUCCGGAUGUCCUGGGUGUAACGGGAGCGUAGACGGCUGUGCAAGUCAUAAGGGAAAGCCCAGGGCUCAACCCUGGUACUGAUUUGGAAACUUGGGAGCUAGAGUGCUGGCGAGGUAAGUGGAAGUCCUAGUGGAGCGGUGAAAUGCGUAGAUAUUAGGAGGAACACCAGUGGCGAAGGCGGCUUACUGGACAGUAACUGACGUUGAGGCUCGAAAGCGUGGGUAGCAAACAGGAUUAGAUACCCCAGUAGUC